rnacentral:piRNA from 1 species
UUACUGGAGUUUCCUGGACAGUGUGGUC